UGUGUUUUUUUGGACUCCAUUAUGUUAAUUUCUGCUCUUAUUUUUAUAAUUUCCUGCGUUGGUCAGACUUUGGGUUUUUCCUACUCUUUAUUUUGGUUUCUGUUUUAAUUCUUGUAAGUUUUGUAGUAGGCAGGUUUAUCACUAAUAUCAAGGCCUCUCUCGAUAAGGUUUGUGCUUCAGGGAUGUUUUCUGUGUGUAGUAGGUUGUGGUUGUGUUUCAAGAUCUUACAUUUCCAAUUAAUUAAGAGUGUGAUGUUGAUAUCUGCUUGGCUCAACUCCCAGAGCUUUGGUGCAAGGGUGUGGUGAAGUUAUUAUUCCAGAAUUUUCCAGUCUUGUCAUAGAAGUGAAAACAACUGAUUAAAUCAGAUAUGACAUCCAAGCUAAGGCAGUAUAAUUAGCAAUAACAAUAUCAUCAUGCACAGUUUAGAAACCGAUGAACUGUGUUAACUAUUAGUUUUGUACCUUUAACCAUAGGAGCAAAAUCUACAGUUAUACAACAGAACUGAUUAUAAAUUGGAAUCCUAUAUACAAAGUAUUUCCCCUUGGUAGAGUGGUUUUAAUUUGUGAUCAGGAAAUUUAAGAAGGAUAAUGGAUAGAACAGAGAAAAUAGAAAGAAAAUAAAGUAGAAACCAGGCUGGAGGAUGAAGGAUGAUCAUGCAUGCAAACCUUGGGAAACUAGAGAAGAGGACAGAAGAGAGAGAAUGAAGCUGUAAGCAGGGGUUUUUACGGUUGACCCAAACAAGAGGUAAAUAAAGGAAAGGGGAAAAGAAGAUGACUAGAUCAGAAAAAAAAUAGCUGAGAAAUAAAAUAAAGGAAAAGGAAUGGGAAACAAACCAGCAAAACAUAAAAAGGAGGAGGAGGAGGAGGAGGAGGAGAAACAAUUAAAGGAAAAAUUUUAAAAUUCCCCUGGUGUCCACUGCGAGUCCAAAACUACCGGAUAAUACUUCCAGUACGGUAGGACUUGUGCUGACUGUGAGGCCGUUCUUGGCUUCCCGACGCGGGGUCCUGGAACCGGAGUCACCAGCCAUGCUCUGUGCGCUCCCGAGUGGCCUCCCCUAGUGACCCUGUUUUUCUCCCCCUGUUCCAGGGCUGUUUUCAAAGGGAGACGGCUGUCCCCAGUUCUGUGCCUUCGGCUCCUCCCAGCCCUUCCCAGCCUGCUGUGUUCUUCUCCCCUGACAGUUCUCUGUCCUCUCAAGCCUUUUGCUUCCACUGGGAUGCUGUGACACGGUUGGUCCUCUCUCUGGUCCUGCUAUUGCAGUUCCAGGCCGCUCAGUCCCAAUUCUUCUUCCUCUCCUGUGGUGGCAGCUGACUUCUCACUCAUUGCUUUACAAGUUCCCCGCCACCUUCCCCUCCCUCUGACGCAGUCUGUAACUUUCUGGGCAAGUGGGUGCCUUUCUGCUCCCAUCACUGGUGGCAUUGGGACAGCUCUGGGCUGCGCAGUCCUGAGGUGCAAGGUGUGUAAUGCCUUGUGCUUCUCUAUCUGCAGAUCAUAGGGAGCAACUGUGCCACUUACUAUGCACCCCUAGAGUCUUUGAUGGUGCUCCUGGUGGUUCCAGUUAGCACUCUGGUGCACAAAAAGAAAGGGAAGAAAAGAAAGAGAAAAAAUGGAAAGGAAAAAAACUGAAUAAAAAAAAGAAAACUGGCUGAUCAUCAGGGAUCAGAGUUUACUGCUGGACUGUAGGGGUCCCUGUUUGGAAGAGAGGAGGAGGCAGGGAACCUUAUAUCCCAAGUCUAUCCUGCGUGGCUUGAUUUAGCCACACGACUUUAAUAUACCCUUUCUUCCUCUUCCUCUUCCUCUUCCUCUUCCUCUUCCUCUUCCUCUUCCUCUUCCUCCUCCUCCUCCUCCUUCUUCAGAUUCCAAGUAUGGAAGGCAGUUGUGGCAAUCUGGCCGCCGGGCAGGCAGGCUGACCAUUUUCCUAAGCCCUUUAUGCAUGUUUGGCUUGAUCUAUUAGUCUCUUGUGUUAUAAUGAUUUGGUUUCAGGGUGAGUGUUCCUCCUUUUUCUUUCAGUUACCUGUAUUUUAGGUGAAUUUCUCUGAGUAACUCUGAAUGAGGCUCCUCUUUUAUUCAGCCAUGUUGUCUGUAGGAUAAUCUUUUUAAAAAUUUUCUCUUUGUUUGACAUCAUUUUCUAAAUUCUCUACAAUGAAUAUGUCAGUUCUACAAUAAAGCACAGAUCACUUUAAAUUCUUUAAACGACAUUCAAGUAUAUCGUAAUGAAGCAUUCCUAAUACAAUGUUGUCAAAGCAGUAACAGAUAAAUAAAUUUAUACACAGAUAACCUCAUUUUUUAAAGAAGAAAGACUUCACAAUGGUCACAAAUGUUAUAAAUGAUUCUUUUAAGCACUUUGAAUUUCUCAGAUGUCUUAAAAUGAUCUUGUACUUACUGUUAUUAGUAACCAUUAAGCUACUCUCAUUUCAAAUCAAAUCUCCAGAACAUAUCCAAGGCAACUGCAACUCUCAUUCUACAAUAUAAUGUGUGUUAAAUGUUUUUAAUUUUUUUCCUAUAGCAACGUUGAUUUUUAUUUCAAGUCUUCAAGGGUAGAAACCUAGAUCUCAGUAAAUUUCACUUGCGUAUCUUUUCAGCCACCAGCCAGGAAUUUCUUCCUGCUGGUAACCCCUUUUAGAGAUAAGCCAUGGUGUUUCCCUGUACCCCAAAACACCAGGGAGAUCAACAUUUAUCAGUAUUUCAGAACUAUCAUCUGUCCUCAUGCCUCACACUGGAACACUGAUCACAAACAAUCAGACCUCAAGCCCAGCUCACCUCAGCUCACCCUUCUGGCCAUCAGCAUGCUGGCCCUUGCCUGGUGGUGUUAACUCACAGUCCAACUCCCAGGAUUUAGAGUCACCCAGAUUGAUGUGGCUGCUCUUUCCUCAGGUUGAGGAUUUAUUGUCAAAUGAGGAUAGAAUCCUUUUUACCUAGAAAGGAUGGUCACAUCAGGUCAUCCUGGAGAGAGCUGAAAGAGCACAUUGAGUCCAGGCUGGCAGCUGCCUAUUUCUGUUAAGCAGACCUUGUGCUCUGGACCAGAUGGCGCUGGCAGAGCCGCUAGAGUCAGCCUGAAAAGACAAACACGUUUAGGGGUUGACUUUGAUUUUCCACAUUAAACUUUCAUGUUCAUGUGUGUAUGCAUGUGUAAAUAUGCAUGCAAACACAGCUUCCCACUUAUAUGUCAUUUGGUUAGCAAGCUGGUCUGGUGACUCAUCCCACUGCGUGCUGCUCAGCCCAGGCUGUGGUGACACUGAGCUAUGCAUUUAUUUGCUGCAAUGAAUAAGUGAAUGUUAAAUAAACUCAUGUUCUCAUGAAGUAUGGCUCUCCCCAGAGAGCGUGCCACAGCUCUGCCAAAUUCAGAUGUUUGAUAUGUAAGAUGGCACAUAGGGAGGCUUUGGCAAAGAGCGCAGCCAGCUGCUGCCCUGGAGCUCCAAACUGGAGCAAAGGCCUAGUUCGGCCCCCAAGAUCCAAGUCUCAAAGCAGUGCAGCUCUCCCAAGCAGAAGCCUGCAGAGAAGAACUAUCCAAUAGGGCUGCUCAGACACAGGAGCACCAGGACAGAGAGUUUUUCGCAGAAAUGCAGGGUUGGUGGGGUGCCAGGCAAGAGCUGUUGCUCUUAGCGGUGGCCACAGAGGGUUAGAGGUCGCUGGACCUCAUGCUGGAGUCAACUAAGAUCGACCCCAACACAGAUCUCCUAAUACACUUAGGAAUGUGGGACUGGACUCUGGCAGCACCUGCUCUUUCCCCUAUAAAGGUCAUGAUCACGAAUCACAGACCAGGCACUGUGCCCAGCACUUUGUUUCUAACUCCAAAAAUCUUUUUUGAAAUCAUGAUUACCUCAGUGUUACAAAGGAGAUGGCGAGGACUGGAGAGGCUAAAUGAUUCUCCUUAGAGCUGGGAGAGGCCUGGUCCUCUCAGUUCCAAGACCCAUCGACUUGCCUGGUGAGGUGGCAUGUGCCUAUAAGUUGAAGGCUGAGGCAGGAGAGUCACUUGAGUCAAGUCUGGCAACACAGUGAGACGUCAUUUCUUAGAAAAAGUCUACUUGGUCCCAUUAUCUCUGCAUACAUUUCCAGGAGGCAGCGCUAGAAGAGUCCACGCAGGGUUCUUGUUCUUCUUCCCAGCACACAUCUUAGGGCAAUGCCGCGGGUUUCAUCUGCUUUCAAGACUGCUCAGCCACGUAGUGUUUAAUUUGGAGAAAAGACUCUGCUUUCAUAUACAGAAAGACAUGAGAGAAAGAAACAAAGAUACGGAAAGAGGAAGAGAAGUUUGAAGCCAUGCACUGAAGAAGAGAAUCUCCAGAUCCUGUCUGGAACGGCCUGGACGUUCCGCAGGCCCGUGUCGCCAUGGGCUUGUCUGACAUUGUUGGUCCCAUCACACUGGCCGCCCUGGUCUUCAGUCCCUGACUGUCUUUUGCCUCCGUAUCUCUUCUCCGGUUCGGCCCAGCAACAAGGCAGUGGUUCGCAAGUUGGCAAUUUUCCCAAGAGACACUGCGCAACUCCUGGAGACACCUUACUGCGUGCAUGACUCUGGGAGGGGGCAGCUGCCACUGAGAUCCAGUGCGUAAAGGCCAGGGACGUCUCUCAACAUCUUUUUCAGAUUGGGCUCAAACUGUCAAGGGUGCAAGACGGAGAAACCCAGCAGUGGAGCAAGGAAAGGAAGUAAAAUAACAUAAACAUUAAAAAUCAAAAGCAUCUCAAUUCUCAGGUGGCAUGAUUGUUAAUGGAAAUUCCUACAGGAUCUAUUCACAAAAACUACCAGAAUUAGCACACAAAUUUAGAAAGGUCAUAGACUCCAAGGUCAAAAUAUAAAAAAGUUAAUUUUAUUUUUAUAUACUUGUAGAAAAUAACAAAUAUUUUACAAUCAUAGUAGCAAGUAUGCAGAACAUUUCAUAAUAAACUUAAAAAGUCAUGGGAGACCUCUAAACUGAAAACUGUGACCCUUGCUAGGUUCAUAAACUAACCAAGAAAAUGUUCAGCUGACACAAUAUUGUUAAGAUGUCAAUUCUGAAUAAGGCAAAAUUCUUAAUAAGACAAAAAAGACCAUUUGUACAAACUCACACUAUGACUAUACAACAAGGUGAUCAAUUCAUAUUCUAUGUCUUAUUCUAAAGGCACAAUAAUUUAAGUAUGUGGAAUUAUCAUUAAUAGAGGCAAAAGAUGAAUGGAACAGAUUAGAGAGUUGGGGAAACAAAACCAUACAUACAGACUCAACUGAUUUUCUACAAUCAAGAAAUUUAGUUAAGCAAAGAAAAGCAAUUCAAUAGGAAAAGAACAAUCACUUCAACAAAUGAAUCUAGUCAGGUGUGGCGGUGCACACCUGUAAUUCCAGCACAUGGGAGGCUGAGGCAGGAGGAUCGUUGGGAGUUAGGGGCCAGCCUGGGCUACACGGUGAGUUCAAGGUCAGCUUGAACUAAAUAGAACUGUCUCAGAACAAAACAGAACAUAAAAAAUGGGUCUAGAAAAAUAAAUAAGCCUUACCUCCUGCCUCACACCAUAAGAAAUAGAGAACUUAAACUCCACAUUGUGCUGAGCUCUGAUGAAUCCUUUACCUAUAUCCUCAAACAUGAUUAGUUCAGAUCACUCCAUAUGUUUCCUGAGGGCAAAAUUGGAAUCUUACACCAAGGAAGGAAGUUGAUUUUGUGGCAGAAUGAAAGUGUUAUUCCCAUCGUGUGCCUGCUUGGAAGCAGGAAUUAGAGAGCCUCUGGUGUGACUUUCUGGGGGAAGGCAGACCCUCGCCAUCUGCACAUCUCAUGCCUCCCCUGGUUAACGUGAGGCUGCACCAAUGUGUAGCACCACCCCUGAUGACACCACUUGCCCCCACUUAUACAAAGGAACAAGAAUCAGGUCUGACUACCCAGCUGGCCACUCUGGCUUACUAGAGCAUGCAUACUGGAAACUUUCUUAAUAAAAUAACAUAGCAACACAGAAUGUUCUUUGAUGGAAAAAAUGUGAAAACAUAGUAAGCUAUUGAAAUAAACUGUCCAAUAGAAAAAAUUCUUAGAAACACAGAGUGUGAGAAUCGAACUCAGGACCUUGUGCUUGCCAGGCAGGCACUGUGUCGCUGAACUAUAUCCCCAGCCCAGUGAGUUUUAACAGCUAAAUGAUACCAACACUGCAAGCUAGAGCUCUCAUUUACAGAUUAGUUCUGUUCUGAAAUAACUUCUUACUUUUCCUGCAUCAUGGCAUGGUGCUUUAAUUUGUCUAGACUCUCUGAACUACAGCUUUUGUGUGGUAAAUAACUUCUUAAGUACCAUAUUGAGGUUUGUGGUGAAGCAUGACCCUUUCAAAGCACAGGCUGGGGCUGUUUCCCAGAUGAAUCCUGGGAGUGUCUGGGGCUCCUGGUGUGCAUUCACUGCUCCUCCUUGGUCCAUGUGGAAUAAUCUUACUGAAUCUGGACAGCGUGGCGGGGGGGGGGGGAGAGGACGCUAGGAAGACACAUCUCAGAGUCCCCAGGAUGAAUUGUCCCACAGAGCCAGAGCAGCUGCAUGUGAGCUACUUUGGAGCAGCAGGCGAGGAAGCUAAGCCUAUCGUGAGAUGUAACGGACCUCACUCCUCAGUAGCCAGCACCAUGUGAGUCGGUCCGCCAGCCAGAGAGGACCAGAUGCCGCUUAAGCCCUCGUGUCACCUGCCUCUGUGAAACAGUGGUGGCUCCAGAUACAAAGCCUGAGGACACUGAGGAACGACUCUCUACCUGAGAACCAGAGUGCAGGGCAGAGCUGAGGACCCAGCCGCACAGUAGCUGGAGAUCUGAGGCACACCAGGAAAACUUGGAAACCAAAUGUUGAGAAAUGCUGUUGCCAUAAAUUUUGUGUCCUCACCCCAACUGCUUUUAAUCUAGCAAGCGCAGUAGUUUAGGACCAGGAAGAAGCAACCAGGAGAGGGUUAGCUUCUCAGCCAAAACACUUGUGACAGGUCUGGUAGGGUUCCCCCAGGGCAGCUGUGCUCCCCACCAACCCUGCCCCCUGCUUGAAGAUGGAGGAGUCAAGCAGUGGUGCCUAAGGGUGCAGGACGUGGAUGGUGGGUGAAUCUCAGGAGAAGCCCCUCUCCUGAGUAUGUCAUCGCCCCGGUUCUGAGCAGGGAGGCUGCCUUACCCCGGGCUUUGUCGCAGAAUCUGCUGUCUGCAUCUUCCUCAGGUAAACAAGAAACACAAGCUUUUUCAGAAACAUGCUGGAAACAGCCAGUCUGUGUGACACCGUUUCUUGUGUUUUCUGCUGUUCCUAAAACCAGGACUGUCUCACAUUUGGCCCCAAACCUACCAUGGUCCAGAGAAAAGCUUUCAGCUCGAUGCAAGUGGGAAUGACUGGUCACCCUCAUACAGAUUGUCUUCUGUAAGCCCCAAUUAAAUAGUUAACAAGCAAAGCAUUGACUUCUUUCCCUUACUGCUGGGAUUGAACCCAAGGCCUCAAUGAACUACAUCCCCAGCCCUAUUUACCUUUUUUUGAAGAAGUGUAAUGCUUGAUAGACGCCUAGGGUGUGGUAACCUACCUACUACGUAAAAGACCCUCUUUUUUGCUCUUGCUGCUUUUGCUGUCUUGAACUGUUGCCCCUGUGCCACGCCAUCCUGCCUUGACACCAGCUGAUUAUGAACCGAAACCUUCACAAACUGUGAGCUAAACAAAACUUCCUUAAUUUUUGGUGUUAAGUAUUUUGUCUUGGCAAUAAAAGAAAAGUAAAAAGACAGAGAAUAUUUUGCUAAAUCACUAAGGUGAUUGAGCUGGGCAUGAAUGUUUGGUCUGCCUGCCUCAGCCUCCCAGAGUACUACGAUUACUGCAUGUACCCGAUCACACCCAACCGCAUUUGAUUUUUUAAAAAUCUCAUUCCAUUCAGUAUUUUCUGUCCCUGGGUAAAAAAACCAAAACAAAACAAAACAAAACAAAAAAAACCUUAGGUAAUGGAAAUCAAAAUGAAGUUGUUAUUUUUAAUAAGCAGAGUAGUGAAAUCUAAGUUUAACUGCAGAUAAGUUAAUAUUACUUGUAUAUCUGUGCAAUAAAGUGCUGCACUGAGAAGUAGGAGUUCAGUGCUGACUGCCAAGCGCCUCUGUGAAUGUGGGUAAAUGUUAGAGAAGCACCCAAGCAAUGUUUUUGCUUUUUUAAGAUAUUGUGAAGAUUUAGCUUCUGCAGUGCAUUCUUUUUAGCUGUAUGAAAGUUAUAGAACUUUUGUAGCCCAAGUUUUCUCACUUGUGAAAUGAAGAUACUUGUAGUCUAGCUUUUCAGGUCACUGUAAGAAGCAGAUGCUUCCUGACAUGUGAUGAAGUUGUGUCCUGGUAACCCACUUCGAGCCUGGCACCACCUGUCACUUAUACCUGCGCCAUGUGCUUUGACUGACUGAGCUGGAGAUGCUUCAUGCCUGUGUAACCUCAGUCGCUUUGUAACCCCUGAACCAGACCCCCUCCGCUGCUUGGUGUCAGGCAGACAAGGGGAUUAAAAAGGAGGUUGGAGGAGCACGAACUGCUUCUCAGGUUGGCACAGAAGCAGCUGCUCCCUCCUGGGGCUGAAGCUGUACUCUGAAGAUCAUUGUCACAUUACUUUUCAUCUCCUUCCCAAUCUUUUAAAUUUGAGUUCCAUAAAUAUCUGGGUAUUUUUUAUGAUGGCAGAAAUGGUGAUACUGCUGACCUAAUUCUGAAAUCAUUUAGAUGGGGCUCUGAUCCUCCGAGAAUGGUUUGUUGUAACCAAGUGACGACUGAUCUAGGAUCACAAACUUCGGGAAGGUGCCCUGGAACUCCAACUUUCCCUAACAAGGGAGAGAGAAAGGCUGGCACGAGAGAGAGACUGCAUCCUCAGACUUUGGAGAAUUGGUCAGUCUGCAGAAUCCCAGUGCUUUUUACAUGCCUUGGCAGGAUGUGUCUGUGACUGAAACUUGACCAGGUCUGGUAACCUUCUGCAAAGGUGUGAUUUUAUUCAAAUUCAGACACCUACUCCCUCAGUGUCUUGUUUCAUGCUUGGUUUAAUCACUUUCUUACCUGGUGUCAAUGCAAUUAUUUCCACAUCAGAUUCAUAAAGAUACAAUUUUAACUACCUCCUUCUUUCUGAGAAAGAGCACCGCAGCCCUGCUCAGGUCUCCUAGCAAUGUGUGACACAUCCGCAGCUGGAUUUAGUUCCAUGAGCAUCCAAGUGUCCCCUGCCUUUCUGUGACUGCCAGCCCGUGAGAACCUUCUCUUGCUCCUUGAGGAGGCCUGUGAGAGUCAUCUCUGUAAAGCAGCCCUUUGUGUCCAGAUCCCACAUCAAGGGAUUCAGCCACAGAGGGGAAGUUUGUGACACAUGCGGACUCCUUCCUGUUGUCCCCAAACAAUGCAUUCUAAAGAUGCUUCGCACCGCUCUUACAUUCCCUUAGGUACCACUGGGCAGGAAGUAAUCUAGACAGGCCUCAAAGGACACGGAAGGAUAUGUGCAGGGUAAGUGUAAGCACUGGAUCAGCCUGCAAGAGGGUCUUGAGCAGGAGGACCGUGGUGUCUGGGGGUCUUGGAUUCCACCCAGGGACUCAUCUGAGAAUGUCUAUGUUCUCAAACCCCACAAGUUGCAGUCUUUGUACCCCCAUCUGUUCAGGCUCCAUUGGCAUCAGAAGCUACUUCGGACACAUCCUGUAAUCAAAGCACCUUCUGGAAUAAUUUCUCACACACUUGGUGCCUGGAGAGGCCUGUUGUCCUAGAACUCGAUGGAAGAGCAGUUGCCAAGUUUCCUCGCUUCAACACCACACGUGUGUUCCAGAAUGGCUGCACAUGUGCAUGGGCCUUGCCCCGAGGCUCCCCCUUCUCUGCAUGAAGAGCCAGGUCCCUGCUUCCCCGGUGGGCUGCUCAGCCUGCUUGGAGGCACAGGUGAGCAACACUCAGGGCUUCUCGUCUGGGGUAAGUGGCCCUACUUUGACCAGAGUUCUCAGAGUUGGAAGGUGACACUGUUGCAAAGUGACAAUUAAUCCUGAGAUGAGGGUUUCUGAGAAUUAAGUGUUGUGACUAAGCUAUUCUAGGCCCAGUGCUGUGUCUGUGGGAGUGCACUGAACCCCUGACCAUAGGACACAGGGACCCUAACACCAUGAGGUGUGGCAGUUAUCGGCCAGAGGAAUGACAGGGCUUAAGUGUUGACACCUCACAUCCUGUGCCUUUUAUUUCCAGACCGAUCUGAAAUCUUCUCCGUGGGUGGAUGAAUGAGAGGAAAUACACUGUCCCCAUCCAAGGGAAGGAAGAGGAUUAGGGGUCCAUAGCAUCACAUCUGGCAUGAGGUGCACUGUGGGCGUCCAUCUGAGGGAGCUUGCAGGCGAAUGAGCCUUCUGGGCAGCACCUGAUGCUUCAGGGGAGAAGGAGAGGCAGGGAGGGGGAGGCCACAGGACUCUGCCUUCUUUUAGACACUGCCCUGCAGCAGACAGCAGCCCACACAAGAAUGUCCUUAUUAGCAAACAGAUUGUGACCAGGAGCCACUCAAACAGCAGAGGGGAUGGAGGAGGAGUAUGUGACUCUGGAGGGAAGGGGAUGCUGCAGGAGUUCAAAUGUAGACAUCCUAGGACUGUGACAGCAAACCUUCUAGAACAUUCAAUGAUAUAAUCAGCAUGCCACAGGUUCGCCACUUCUGUCCAAGGACAUUUUUCCUGAUUUUAGAGCUACCCUGGCCUGAGGGUUAUUGUUCAUGUCCAAGACAUGCAAUGAUCAUUCACUGUCCCCAAAGAGCCAGGCUGCUCCUACUGGCAACAGAGGAAGAUACUCGAUGUGCAGGCCUUGUGUGCGGAGCCGGCCUGCUGGUGACAGAGACAGUGCAGGGAGCUGCUGUUUUGGAGCCCAAGCAGCUGCCUCCGGAUGUGCUAUUCCCUCCUAUCACAGCCUUUUGGCGGAAACCCCAGCUCACUCACAGGAUGUGAAGUCUUUCCAGCGCAGCAGGCUGGCAUCCGGGCCCAUGUGGGUGCUGGCAGAGCUUCCUGGGGAGCCACCUCCAGGGCCCCGAGGUAACCUGAGCAGGGGAAGCACAGAUGUGGGCCCUGGUGCUUCGUGGGUGCUGCCUGCUCGGUCUGUGUUAGCACACAUCUGAGGUUGGGCUCUUGCAGAUUCCCUGAGGCAGUGUGCAGUGCUCGCGUGCGUGUGUUGUGGUGUGUGACCACGCAUGUCUGUGGUGCCUGUGUGGUACGCGUGUGAAUGUGUGGUGUGUGAUGUGCAUGUAUGGCGUGUGUGUGGAGUAAAUGUGUGCACACGGGUGCCUGCCUGUCCUGAAUGGUGGAGGCUGAGGACAGAGCGUCGCCUCCUCCUGCUGCUCCCUGAAGACUACUCCCACGGUCACCUAGUUGUUUCUGAACAAACCUGUUUCCCAGCAUGGUCUCCACCUCCAUCUCGGAGUGCAUACACUGAGCAGAGAGGGCUAGAGUGUCAGAAAGGGACUCAGAAAGGGUUUCAGAAGCAGCUCCUUUCUGCCUGUGUCCCCUGCUUCCGGCCUGGCCAGCAGGUCCUGCCAAGGCCAGUGACUCAGCAGGGUGAGCAUCUGCAGCUGCUCAGUCACAGCUCCACACGGUGACUGCCACUGCACUCCUGGGGCACUGAGCAGCUGAGGUGGUCACCUCUGUGUGCUGUGUGUGUCGCUGUCUCCGCAGGCUGCACCCCACACACACAUGCGUUGACAGCAGCGUGGCUCAGCCUGCUGUGCCGUCAGCUGCAGCACACAGGACAGCUGAACAUUCACCCCGCCAGCGGUCGGUCACGUAGGAGGUAGGGGCACACGCUUCCUCUUUCAUUGACUGUCCUGUGUGCCCAGAACAGAAAUGAAUCCAAUUGAUAACAUCCUGACACAGCACAGAGAAAGCCUAGGUCGGCUUGCUGGAGGCCUCAAGAGCUUGUCCUGCCCUGGCUCUGGCUGUCCCUCCUGCUGAGGAGCCGCAGCACAGCAGAUGGAGCUCAGGGAGAGGAAGGAGAGGGAAGCUCUGGUCAGAAACAGGUUUCUCCCAGAAAGUCUGCCAGAACAGUUCAGGGGGCCCAUUUUGGCUGUGCUGUCACAGAUGGGCCCUCCCCCAGAACCAGAUGCACAAAGAGAGAAGAUUUAGAAGCCAAAUCUGUCAAGAGAACACCUUAAAGACGGAAGCUGUUUUCCUGUCAUUCUGGAGGCUAGAGGGUCCAAGGGCAGGGGGCUGGUCUGAUAGAUGCUCCUUGUCGUGUCAUCUGAUGGCAGAAGGACAGAAGGCAGAAGCAGGGUCCACACUAUCCUUUAUCUUGGACGCAACCCCUCCCAUGACAGAGGCUUCACUGCUCCCAAGAGAGCAAAGCCCUGAGAACCAAACCCAGUUGAAGGCCACCUCCGGUGCAGCUGCUCAGGGGAUUCAUUUUCCAAUACAAGAACUUUGGGGACACAUUCCAAUGACAGUGAUUGCAUCUACACACAUAGACCUGUCCCACACAGGUCAUGGGACACAUUGGAAGAGGUACACCUUAAAACAUGUUAUAAAUAAAAAGGUAUUUUAACUGUCCUGGAAUGGGGAUAACCUAAGCAGAACGUCUUUCAGGGAGUGACUGGUUAAGCCAUGGCAAACUUUCCAUGUAACUAGAAAUCAAGUGCAUGAAGCAAAACACUACACACAAAGACUGGCAUCGAGGGCAGAUACUCUGGGUUUAGCCAGUGAGCUCAUGUUGCCCAGGUAGCUUUUCCAGAGACCCUCCAGAAGUCCUGUGCAGACUUAAGGGACAGAGGAACACUAGCGCAGUAGGACAUGGAACUCCUCCUCCAGGCUCAGCCGAUGACUCACACAUCUUUGCUCAGAUCUGCUGGGCUCUAUGUCUAUUUACACCCGGACUCGGGGUGAGGGUCCGGAAACAACAGACUUGGUGCUGAGCCCCCGGGAAUUUAUGGUCUCACAGACAAUGAGCAGGAGUGCAAGAUGAAGGAGAAUCAGGAGAUAAUGUAACAUACUUAAACACUGUUUCAGAAUUUUUAUUCCUGCAUUUAACUCCUUUUCAAGAAAACAUUUAGCUUCCCCUGGACUCUGACAGAUUGGAAGACACGGGAAAGGAUCAAAGGUGGCAUGGGUACUUGGCACGGGUUACCAGCAGGUGGCGACGUGCACGUGAGCAUGGGCCCUUCUGCCCAAUUCCACACCAGGUUGACACAAGGACAAAUGGCACUGUGUCUGUCAGUGCUUGGUAGAAGACAGUGUUAUGAAGAAUGAUGAAAUAGGCCUUUAUCUUUAUGUGGUGUUCACUCUCCUCAAAGUAUUGCACAUGCUUUGCUGUCUCAUUUGAUGCAGUGUUCAAUGAAAUGAUUAGGCUAAUUAUCAACUGCCAGGCUAAUUAUCCUGACCAAAAGGAAACUGAGGCUCCCACGCUCAAAUCACUUUUUUGUUUCAUUUUAACAUAGGAAGAGAAGAUAGGUAUAACAAUGAAACUGAGUUUCAAAGCAGCUUGGUUGGAUCCUUACAAUAGUUGAUACAUGGUGUACAAGAUAUAGGAAUGAUAUCUUCUCCUAAGAAUAGUAGCGCAGAACUUUCUUUUCAGGGAACUGAGAGAAGCUAGCUGUAUCUGUCUUAACUGUCUUGUGUAUACAUAGAUUUUUUUGCCUUUUCCUCUUCUCAAAUCACUUUUCAAAGCCAUACAGAAAGUGUUGAGCUUUAUCUUCCGACCCUGAGGUUUCGGAGCUGAGUUAAUACUCCCCCUGCCUGCGUGGAUAUUAGGGUACUGCCUCUCAGAGUGCGUCGGCUCUGAAGAAGAGGAUGACAGUGUCUAUGCAGCCCUGGGUUUCUCAGUCUUUAGUGCUCCUGUCCUUCUGCCCUUGGUGGUUUUUCAGGACUCAGCCUCCUCCUGCUAAAUCCCAUUUGCACACUCCCAGGUGAGAUGUGUCUCAGUCCCCCGGUCCCUGCAGCACACGUUGUCCCUAGUUGAAAAUCGCUGAUCCAGUCUGUUCACAAUCCUGGGCACACAGGAGAAACCUUGUAUAUCCCUGGUGAAAAUAUCAAUUCUGAAAUGUGGUUGAUAGAAACUGCCAAAAGGUAAAGCAAAUCAAGGGUUAAGAUGUAGGUUAAGAUUCACUUCUGUAGCACAGAUAACACACUAAGAACCGAGCCAGCCAGAGAAGAUUGUGCUGGUCAGUGGGUGGGUUCACAGGUCCAUCUGGGAAGAGGAGAGGGACACUAUAUCUGUCAAAAGCAGGAGCACGCACAGCUUUGCGUGUACUUCUGCAGUGGAGCAGCCAGCAGUCCGGAUCCAGGACACAGUGGUGAGCAGUUGGUGGAUUUGACAGGAAGCCCCGGGAGGGCUGUGCAGGGGAGUGGCCCAGAGCACCUGGGGCUGGAGUCUAUUUCCACCUCUGCUGCUACUGGUGUAGGAAGGCCCUCGGCAGGCCCCUAUCCUCCUGGAACCACAGCCUUCAGUCAUAAAACAAGGAGGUUGGAGUAUGUUACUCUUAGGUAACUUACAGCUCAUUUAUUUAUGAUUUCAUGAUGCAAGUUCUCAAUUCCCUAUCUGAAAACCUCAGGGUCACAUGUGGCCUGUGCUACUGAACUCAAACAACCUACAAUCAAGCGCAUUAAUAUUUCUUCAGUAAAGUGUAUGGCUGCUCAUGGUGAGAUGGGGCAAGACCGCUAGCAGCUGCUUAUAUUUUGAGAUUUGCUUUUGCUGCCAGUGAGUUUACCACAAAAGCCCUUCUGGUUUUCAGGCGACGGGUUUGGACUCAAGAUUACGCAAUUUAUAUGUGUACUCAGUUUGGACAUUAAUGACGAUUAAUAAACCCCUAUUGUCAAAUGUAAAUUAUGCUCGGUAAACCUGCUUGUCUCAUUCCUCAGAAAGUGGAGUUUUAUUAAAAUUAAAGGAUCUUUUCUUAAUAUUUACUUUCUUGGCUCCCAAAUUUCAAAGCUGCCACAGUAAGCAUUCUCUCAAACCUUGAUUUUUAUUCUAGUAUUUAAUUAUUAUGUAAAAAUUAUCCCAGUAAUAAAUGUAUAUAAGAAAAAUAUAAGUGAAAAAACUUUAACAUUUUAAUAUAAAAGCAUAUAAUAAAAUUCCUGAGCAGUUAUCUUCUCAUGUAGUCAGAAAAUGAAGUUAUCAAAGUAAUAUAACAGAAAGUAAUUUGGUAAGUGAAGUUCCCUGUUUGUCGGUUGUGUUUUUGUUGGGUCCCCGCAAGCUGAACAGUGGCCACGCGCACAGGAAUCCACAGCAAGCACCGUUUGCCGGGAAAGCAGCAGGGCUCCUAGUGGCUCGAAGGCUGGAUCUGAGUCUCCUCCUGGUCUCAGGGCCACACUCCGCACUAUUAAUAGUGCUGCCGACUUCGCACUUUCCUGCACUCAGCACUUCUAUUGCACACUUAUAAUAUUGCAAACAGAAACACUCCAUCGAGCUGAAUAUGGUAAACAUCUUCACCGAACAGAAAAUGCAUGCUCACUGUGCUGAAGGGGAAACUGAGGCAGGGAGAGAGCGGCAGUUAAAAUCAAACAGCAGUUCAGGGAAGAGCUAAGAGGAGACUGAACCUGCCUCCGGCUCUCUCUGUGAGCGGCUUUAGCUAGUUCAAGCCACAGACAAAGCAGGAGGAAGAUGGCAUGGUGACCGAGGGGGAAGAUCGUGAAGGGAGAGCGCGUGAGUGGUCUUGGCUGUGGGAGUGUGCAGGGACACACCCAGCAGAUCGGCUGUCAGUGCUGUCUCAUCCUGUACUCUAACAGCACCGAUGAUGAUCACAGAUGCCAGGUGCUGUGCUGGGUGUAGGGACAGUGAGGGGUGGGACCCUUGAAGUGUGUGGGCGAGGGCUGUAAACGGACAAUAAUCAAGUAAGAAAACCACACUAUUUUAGAUGCAUUGUAGAUGCUGCACAGAGAAUCACAGGGAGUAACACCCGGCUUGUGCCGGCCUGUGGGAGAUCCGCAGGGGUGAGAGUCACUCCAUCCCCUGGAGAGGAGAGCCAGGGCCUCAGCGGGGAAGGGGUAGGGGGAGAGGGAACAGGGCAGGGAUGGAGUUAGAGUAGAGCCUGGAAUGCAGGGCCUGCGAAGUCAGAGUCAGGGCAAGGAGAGGCCGCGGGAGGGCUCAGCAAAGGCUGCACUGUUUAUUGGCAGCGUUGAAUGAGCAGCCAUCUGCCUUGAGGAGAACAGACUGGAGCAGGCAAGAGACGAGUGAGAGCCUUAGUGAGAAAGCAGAUUUGAAUACAACAUCACAGGAGUAUGGGAAUUCUCUCUGUGGUACUGGCUGAGACCCUAAAUCAAAAGGGUAGUUAAUCAGAGGCGGACUUUACCUGUUUGUGUCAUCUUCCUGGAAGCUUAUGACCAUUCUAAGAUUUGCAUAUAUGUCUUUACACUUGCAACCUGCCAUUUCUGUAUGACUUUUAAAAGUACAUUUAGUUUUUGAUGUGGAUACUUUAUCACGCAAAUAUAGAUGAGACAUCCACAAAAACCGUAUAGUCAGAUACAUAGCAUUCACAGUGGCGUCAGAUGAAUUCCAUUCUUACUUAUCCAUGACCCACAGAAUUAAAAAUUUAACUUAUAUUUCCUUCCAGCCUGUAUCUUCCUGGCUAACAAAUGCUCAGCUCUCUCCCCCUACAGAUACCUCCUCAGUACUGUGCUCAUUUCAGAUGUUCUUUCUAGUCUUGGCUUCCACACUGACCAGUGGCCGUGGAGUUAGCCCUGCACCUGGAGGCUACGGGGACAGUUUCAUUCUGUUUCCUUUGGAACUGAACCAUACAUGGUCUUGCACUGUAUUAUGCCUUCAUGGGCCAACGCUUUGUUGAAGGCAGGCACAGAAUGAAGAAGACAUAUUUUCUUUGGGAGGCUGGCCUGCGAGCUCUGGACAGGCAUCUCUUCACAUAGAUCCAUCCCUUCCAGCUCCUUGCCAGAAGAACGGCUCCUUAGAAAGUUCCUCCAAACCAGACAAGCAAAGAGAUCAAUCCAUUAGAAGUCUCCAAGAAGACCGUGAGUGACUCAGUUCUCUCAACUAGGAAAGUGUCCCAGAACCUGCCUGGCUGGGCUAUGGUGAAGACUGGCUCCUCUGACAUCAUAAGAAAACUAUGACUAUGUUCCUCGGAUCACGCCACUUUCUGCUGUGAUGUCGCUGACCUCAGGACUCCUCAGACUAGUAAAUACCAAGAUGCAAUGAAUCUUAUGUAACUUUUUGAUAACUAAAUUUUCUACUGCCACUGACCAUGAAACCUUUGGCUCCUGAGCUUCCCUUUCUGGGUCCUCUUGCACCAAAUCCAGAUUGCAUAGCUAGUUACAGUCAAUGCCACGGUGCUCCUGGGUUCUCUGCAUCCCAUAAGGGUCUGCGUGAGCUCUGUGCCAUCUCCAUGAGCCCUGAGUAUGGCCAGAGGUGACUGUGUGCCUGUCCUCUCUUGAAGCCACCUGCUCACACACCUCUGCUUGUCCUCCACAGGGAACCCUUCUUCUGUCUGUCAGAUCAGGACUUUCCUGAAGCAAAUCCUUGUGAAAACCAGAGCAGAGCUAGCUCUUCAUAUCCUGAAGGCUAAGAUAAAGAAAUUUUAAAAUGUUUUUACUCUGAAAUGCCUAGCUUUCAAACCACCAUUACAAAACACUAUUUUGUAUAUUGGAAGAAGCAUCCUGAGCAACAACCCACAACUUCCUAGUGAAUUAGUCUAAGAAGUAAAUGGAUUAACCUUGGGAGAAAAAUGAGGGGCUACUCAAGGCCAUUCAGAAAUGUAAUAUUUAUGUUUGGGUAGCAUCUCACUAUAGAAGAAAUUGAAAUUUGCCCUAAGGGUUGUGUGAUGGGGGAAUAAGACACACUCGAGAAAAGAUCUAAAUCAAGGAAGGCUUGGGGGAAUCGGCCAGCUGUUUUGUCUCCCUCUGAAAGUCUGGGGAAAAAAUCCUGAACAUGCGGAGGAUGCGGGGCUUCGGUACACUCUGUCAGAACCACCGCAGAGAGGCAAGUUCAGAAGAACUGCACAUCGCAUCAGCUGAGUACACAUUUGACAGGAAGUGAAUGAUGGGGGCCCACGACAAGGGCAGUGAAAAGAAAUGAGAAUCGGCCAUCUGCAGCCCCAGGCAGCAAAGCUGUCUACUAAUAGGGACCAGGCGUCGAGGUCAAAGCUGAGGGCUAUCUAGCUCUCCGGAUGUUCUCGCUCUCCGGUAGCUUAUCUGAAUGUGGAGACAGUAGUAAAUAACUGGAGGAGUGACAGAGAAAACAGAAAUCAGGUAACAGUACACCAGAAAAAGGAAUGUAGGUGGUCUCCUCACAGCGGUGUGUGGCACAUAACAAAUGCUCAGUAAGUGAUGGCUAAACAGCAUCCCACGAUCCCCAGCAGAGAGCACAGAAUGGUAAAGAAGCCUCUAGCAAAUGUCUUGUGGUGGAGGCCUAGAGAAACAUGGGUGAGAACAAAACAGAAAAUGGGGGACCCCUCCCAGAUGCUUCAGAUGCCACAUGAGAAUGAGGAUGUGCAUGGUCCCAUGUGAUGUGUGUGGCCCCAUGUUGGUAUCAAACAGGUGUGUAAAACAAGGUGCCAUGGUGGAGCUCAGAAAGGUCAUCUUGCUUCCUGUUGGGCCAUAAGCCCCAUAAGAAGCAGGAGGGAGGGAAGAGGGGACAGAGGAGAAGCACAGCACUCACCAUGUCUAGGUUUUAGGGGAUCCUGAGAGCCUGAGACCCUGUGCUGGCCCUCUGCACAUGCAGCUCUUGCAGUCAGGGCUGAGGCCCUACCCACAGGCCAGGAGGGCCUCAGCUUCAGCUUCUGCGGAGGACCUCAUGUCCUCCCAUGUCUUCCACAUCCCCACUCCCCGAGGAGAAGGUUUAGCUAUGAGAAGUCCUCUCCAGGUUGCUGUGUGUCUAGUCCACCCCAGGAAGCAAGAUAGCAUCUCCACGGUUGGGAGGGAGCCCUAGAAAAGCUUCCUGGGUGGCCGCCUCUGAUGGACACGGCAUGCAGGAUAGGUUUACCUGCAGCCCUGGCCCCAGAUGACAAGUGGCUGAGGGAGCCCUCUCUUACUCCUGGGUCUGACUGUGCAAUUUGGGGCAGGCCCUUAGGGUUAGGGUUAGGGUUAGCCUGCCCACAAGUGUCUGGUCACCUCCCAGUGGCCAGGGUCUGUCCUCAGGCCCCAGAGGCCCACAGCAGUGUUACUGUAACUGUCCUCAGAGAAUCAUUCUGGAUCUAAACUGCUGUUACCAUUGCCUACAGCCUGUUUGUGUGGGGCAUGGGGGAGCUGAAUGCUAUCAUCUUUCACUCAGACCUAAGCAGAUCCAUGUGUGUUGAGAGACUCAAGAGAAAAGCGAUUUUGUACAUUGCAAAAACUUGGAAAUGAAAAUUUGCAUUUUUAUACUGUAAAAUGCUUUUCUCCUGAGAUACCAGCCCAGAAACUCUUCACUGAAAUCGCGCACUAUGAUUGUAAUACUGUGACUAAAACUGUACACUUUGAGUUCCAUCUUUCCUUCGAUUCUCAAAGCCAACUGUUUUUAAACAAGUGCUCCUUGUCUUAAAUUAUUUGCUAGCAGAUAAAAACACAGCCCAAUCACCAGCAAAGUGAAAAAAAAACUCACAUAAUGGGAAAAAAAAUUAGCGAACUGUCCCUCAGACAGAGACUUAUAUCUAGAACAUACAAAGAAUUGAAAAAAAUCAGGCCCCCAAAUUUAAAAAACCCAAUCCAAAACUGGGCAUUUGAGAUGAACAUGCACUUCCCAAAUGAAGAAAUACAAAUGGCAAAUAAAUACAUGAAGAAAUAUUCACCAUCACUGGGAAUUUGAGAAAUGCAAAUUAAAACAAUGUUCAGAUUCCAUCUCACUCCAGAACAAUGGUUGCCAUCAAGAAAUCAAACAAUAACAAAUGCUGGCGGAGCUGUGGGGAUAAAGGAACACUGCUCCACUGUUGGCGUGAGUAUAGACUGGUGCAACCACUGUGGAAAUCAGUGUGAAGAUGCUUCAAAAAACUAGGAUUGGAAGUCCCAUUCAAUCCAGCUAUUCCCCUCUUGGGUAUUUUUCCAGAAGAAUUGAAAACAUCAUACCACAGCAGUAUAUGUGCAUCCAUGUUUAUAGCAGCACAGCUUGUAAUAACUAAAUCUCAGAAACAACCCAAAUACCCAUUAAUUGAGAAAUGGAUAAAAAAGAUGUGGUAUUUUUAUACAGUGGAGUGUUUUUGUUUGUUUGUUUUUUUGUUUUUUUGUCUUUUUCCUCUAUGUCGGUACCAGGGAUUGAACUCACGACUGCGUACUUGCAAGGCAGGCACUUAUGCCACUGAGCUGCCACUCCCCAGUCCUGGAGUGGUAUUUUUAUACAUUUUUAUACUCAGGUAUGAAGAAUACACUUGAGGCUUUCAUAGGUUAAUGGAUGCAACUUGAGACCAUACUCAUAGUGAAAUAAAUCAGACUCACAUGUGUAAAUACGUAUUGUCUCCCUGGCAUAACAAACUGAAAGAGAGAGCUGGGCGUUUAGCUCCACGGCAUAAGCGCCUGCCUUACAAGCACGGUCGUGAGUUCAAUCCUCAGUACCGAUAAAAAAGAGACUGAAAGAGUAAGAUCCAAAGCAUAAAAUAGGUAUUGGGAAGAAACAGAAAGACACUGCUCAAAAAGAAAGAACAACUGAAGUAGGGGAAAGGAGGAGAGAAAGGAACAGACUGUAUGUUUGCAAAUAUAGUUAUAAAUAUAUAUAUAUAUAUAUAUAUUACAAAAUAGAUAGCUAUCUACUAAUCUGUUAGUUCAUUAAAAAGAAGUUUGUGUUUUCAUUGUUCAAUGGAGAUCCCAGCUACACUAGGCUGUGCUCGUACAAACUGGGAAACUCAGCUGGCGGCUGCCUUGAGUCCCAACCAUCCUGAGCCCCCCCCCCCCCGCCCGCCCAGGAGACUUUAAGAUCAUUGCUGCCAGAGCUCAAGGACGCACCCAGCUCCCAGCCACACUACACUAGCCUUGGGAGGUUUUGUGGACCGAAUAUAUUACGCCCAGCGACCUUCUCCAGUUACAGGGAGCAUGUGAAGUGAGCUCCAGGGCAUUGGUCUUACGGAAAUACAGGAAAAUGACAAAACGAAAGACCAAAAUGCAAUCUCAGACCUCCAGCCCAUCCCAAGAAAGACUAGGAGCCAUGUCCAUAGAAGAAAAUAUAUGCCAUACACCUGAAAUACCUGCAACAAUAGCAACUGAAAUAAAGAAGCAACUCUGGGAAGCUUUAAAGGAAUUCAGACUAGAAAUAAUCUCCCAGGUAAAAGAAGUGAUAAAAGUAAUGAGAGAGAUGCUGAACAACUCUAAAGAAGACACAGUUAAAAAAUUAGAGGGACAAAACAGAAAGAUAGAAUCCCUGGAUGAACAAUUUAGGAAACAAACAAUACAUGAAACAGAUUCAAAGAGAUAUACAGGAAUUCAUUGCUCAAUUGUUUGAACAUUUUUCAUGCCUAUAUCUGGUAAUCUAACAACAACUUUGAAGAUAACAAUAUAUAAUAUAUUAACUAGUAUAUUAAUCUCCUAUUAUUUUGUUUUGAAAUUUUGUAUCAUCUGAAGGUAUGCUCAGCUAUUUCAAAGGAGACAUUAUUGUAGCUACUGUUAUAUCGAAUUGUCUUGUGGUGAAAUACUGUGUUGCUUAAAUUGUUCUGUAUUGAUCUACUUUAUUAUGUCCUCUUUUGUCUUAAUCUCUUUAAAAUAAAAAAUUUUAAAAAAGAAA